rnacentral:rRNA from 1 species
UACGUAGGGUGCAAGCGUUAUCCGGAAUUAUUGGGCGUAAAGAGCUCGUAGGCGGUUUGUCGCGUCUGCUGUGAAAACUGGAGGCUCAACCUCCAGCCUGCAGUGGGUACGGGCAGACUAGAGUGCGGUAGGGGAGAAUGGAACUCCUGGUGUAGCGGUGGAAUGCGCAGAUAUCAGGAAGAACACCGAUGGCGAAGGCAGUUCUCUGGGCCGUAACUGACGCUGAGGAGCGAAAGCGUGGGGAGCGAACAGG